CAAACACACACCCAACACACACCCCCACACACACACCCCAACACACACACACAAACACACACCACAACACACACCCCAUACACACACACAAACACACACCCCAAUACACACACUCCAGCACACACAUCACAACACACACACACAAACACACACCCCAACACACACACACACACACCCCCACACACACACCCAACACACACACACAAACACACACACACCCCAUACACACACACAAACACACACCCCAAUACACACACCCCAGCACACACAUCACAACACACACACCCCAACACACACACACAAACACACACCCCAACACACACCCCCACACACACACCCCAACACACACACACAAACACACAAACACACACCCCAUACACACACACAAACACACACCCCAAUACACACACCCCAGCACACACAUCACAACACACACACACACACACACAAACACACAACCCCAACACACACCCCCACACACACACCCCAACACACACACACAAACACACACCCCAUACACACACACAAACACACACCCCAAUACACACACCCCAGCACACACAUCACACACACACACACAAACACACAAACAACACACCCCAUACACACACACAAACACACACCCCAAUACACACACCCCAGCACACACAUCACAACACACACACACACACAAACACACACCCCCAACACACACACACACACACACCCUCACACACACACAAACACACACACAACACACACACCCCAACACACCCCAACACACACAAACACACACACGCCAACACACAGAUCCCAACACACGCACACACUAACCAACACACGCACAAACAACACACACACACACACCCCAACAAACACAUCCCAACACACACACAUUCCAAUCCUAACACACACAUACCAAAAAACACACACAAACACACACACACAACCCAACACACACAAACACACACAAACGUGCCAGUGGAGUUGAGGUAGUGGUCAGAUAAACGAGAUGGGUCUGUGGAGGCGUCCAUCUGAGAGACAGGGAGAAGCAUCACUCUAGUUCCUUUCUAUCAGCAGCGAUCAAUUGACCCCGGUCUCACUCUCUACUGGAAUAUACCACAGAACUCACAGAGGGAGAUAGGGAGAGAGAGAUGGGGGGAGUAGUGAAACGUGCUUGGAACCGAGGACUGAUCAAAUUUGGCCCCAAUAACUACCAUGGGACAUGCGUCAACAGCAACCUUGGGAAAAUCCUCUGCAUUAUCAUUAACAGCAGACUCGUACAUUUCCUCAGUGAAAACAACGUACUGAGCAAAUGCCAGAUUGUCUUUUUACCAAAUUACCAUAAGACAGACCAUAUAUUCACCCUACACACCCUAAUAGUAUUAGACUCAAUUUGACAUGAGGGUCUGCUAUACAAACUGAUGGAAAGUGGUGUUGGGGGAAAA
rnacentral:lncRNA from 1 species